CGUACACUCCUACGGGAGGCAGCAGUGGGGAAUAUUGGACAAUGGGCGCAAGCCUGAUCCAGCCAUGCCGCGUGAGUGAUGAAGGCCCUAGGGUUGUAAAGCUCUUUCACCGGUGAAGAUAAUGACGGUAACCGGAGAAGAAGCCCCGGCUAACUUCGUGCCAGCAGCCGCGGUAAUACGAAGGGGGCUAGCGUUGUUCGGAUUUACUGGGCGUAAAGCGCACGUAGGCGGACUAUUAAGUCAGGGGUGAAAUCCCGGGGCUCAACCCCGGAACUGCCUUUGAUACUGGUAGUCUUGAGUUCGAGAGAGGUGAGUGGAAUUCCGAGUGUAGAGGUGAAAUUCGUAGAUAUUCGGAGGAACACCAGUGGCGAAGGCGGCUCACUGGCUCGAUACUGACGCUGAGGUGCGAAAGCGUGGGGAGCAAACAGGAUUAGAUACCCGAGUAGUCCCA
rnacentral:rRNA from 1 species